GAAAUGCGAUAAUUAAUGUGAAUUGCAGAAUUCAGUGAAUCAUCGAGUCUUUGAACGCACAUUGCGCCCCCUGGUAUUCCGGGGGGUAUGCCUGUCCGAGCGUCAUUGCUGCCCUCAAGCACGGCUUGUGUGUUGGGCUUCCGUCCCUGGCAACGGGGACGGGCCCAAAAGGCAGUGGCGGCACCAUGUCUGGUCCUCGAGCGUAUGGGGCUUUGUCACCCGCUCCCGUAGGUCCAGCUGGCAGCUAGCCUCGCAACCAAUCUUUUUAACCAGGUUGACCUCGGAUCAGGUAGGGAUACCCGCUGAACUUAAGC
rnacentral:misc_RNA from 1 species